rnacentral:rRNA from 1 species
CACGUAGGCACCAAGCGUUGUCCGGAUUUAUUGGGCGUAAAGAGCUCGUAGGCGGUUCGGUAAGUCGGGUGUGAAAACUUUGGGCUCAACCCAAAGCCUGCACUCGAUACUGCUGUGACUUGAGUCCGGUAGGGGAGUGGGGGAAUUCCUGGUGUAGCGGUGGGAAUGCGCAGAUAUCAGGAGGAACACCGGUGGCGAAGGCGGCCUGCUGGGCAGUAG